rnacentral:rRNA from 1 species
UGGGGAAUAUUGCACAAUGGGCGCAAGCCUGAUGCAGCCAUGCCGCGUGUGUGAAGAAGGCCUUCGGGUUGUAAAGCACUUUCAGCGGGGAGGAAGGCGUUAAGGUUAAUAACCUUGGCGAUUGACGUUACCCGCAGAAGAAGCACCGGCUAACUCCGUGCCAGCAGCCGCGGUAAUACGGAGGGUGCAAGCGUUAAUCGGAAUUACUGGGCGUAAAGCGCACGCAGGCGGUCUGUCAAGUCGGAUGAGAAAUCCCCGGGCUCAACCUGGGAGCUACAGUCGAAUCUGGCAGGCUAGAGACUUGUAGGGGGGGGUAGAAUUCCAGGUGUAGCGGUGAAAUGCGUAGAGAUCUGGAGGAAUACCGGUGGCGAAGGCGGCCCCCUGGACAAAGACUGACGCUCAGGUGCGAAAGCGUGGGGAGCAAACAGG